ACGCUGUCGCCCGGCCACUGCUUUGCUGCAUUCUGUCUGCAUUUUCUCUGCGGUUGCCUCUGGUGCUCAUCCGUGGACGCUGGUCAUCUUCCUGCAGGUGCGCUGCGGCUCUGCAUCGCGAGUGUGGCGUUGCGGUCUGUCUGUGUCGUGCUAUCGCCUGGCCGGGCGCCCGGAGCGUGAGGAAUGCGCAUCAGCAAACUUCCAGCCAGCCAGCAACUUGUCGGUACAGUAACGCCGGCGUUCGACCAGCCAUGCACUUCUGCUCUGCCACUGCAAACUGUUUGCUGUCUGCUUACGGGUCUGGGCAUCGGCUGCACCCUACGGGACCUCGCCAACCUGCCUUGAACCCUGUCCCAUCACACACCUGCGUACGCGCCUUGUCCGUCCACUCUACCCCUCCGCGCAUCUCCACAUGGCCUGUCAGGCUCUGGGUACUAUCGGAAGUGGGACGGCGCCCCAUCAAACCAUCCCAUGCCCGGGCCGCGACUGCGCUUGUGAUGUGGGCGGCUGCAGGCGAUUAACGGCACGGGUGGGUGCGUGUCGGCGGCUGCUGGCUGCCCACAGCCGCCUGCAUCGCUAUGCGCGGGCUCUGUGCCAGCCGGCCACACCAUG
rnacentral:lncRNA from 1 species